rnacentral:rRNA from 1 species
GCUUAUGCGUUGUUGGGUAGGGGAGCGUUCUGUAAGCCUGCGAAGGUGUGCUGUGAGGCAUGCUGGAGGUAUCAGAAGUGCGAAUGCUGACAUAAGUAACGAUAAAGCGGGUGAAAAGCCCGCUCGCCGGAAGACCAAGGGUUCCUGUCCAACGUUAAUCGGGGCAGGGUGAGUCGACCCCUAAGGCGAGGCCGAAAGGCGUAGUCGAUGGGAAACAGGUUAAUAUUCCUGUACUUGGUGUUACUGCGAAGGGGGGACGGAGAAGGCUAUGUUGGACGGGCGACGGUUGUCCCGGUUUAAGCGUGUAGGCUGGUUUUCCAGGCAAAUCCGGAAAAUCAAGGCUGAGGCGUGAUGACGAGGCACUACGGUGCUGAAGCAACAAAUGCCCUGCUUCCAGGAAAAGCCUCUAAGCAUCAGGUAACAUCAAAUCGUACCCCAAACCGACACAGGUGGUCAGGUAGAGAAUACCAAGGCGCUUGAGAGAACUCGGGUGAAGGAACUAGGCAAAAUGGUGCCGUAACUUCGGGAGAAGGCACGCUGAUAUGUAGGUGAAGUCCCUUGCGGAUGGAGCUGAAAUCAGUCGAAGAUACCAGCUGGCUGCAACUGUUUAUUAAAAACACAGCACUGUGCAAACACGAAAGUGGACGUAUACGGUGUGACGCCUGCCCGGUGCCGGAAGGUUAAUUGAUGGGGUCAGCGCAAGCGAAGCUCUUGAUCGAAGCCCCGGUAAACGGCGGCCGUAACUAUAACGGUCCUAAGGUAGCGAAAUUCCUUGUCGGGUAAGUUCCGACCUGCACGAAUGGCGUAAUGAUGGCCAGGCUGUCUCCACCCGAGACUCAGUGAAAUUGAACUCGCUGUGAAGAUGCAGUGUACCCGCGGCAAGACGGAAAGACCCCGUGAACCUUUACUAUAGCUUGACACUGAACAUUGAGCCUUGAUGUGUAGGAUAGGUGGGAGGCUUUGAAGUGUGGACGCCAGUCUGCAUGGAGCCGGCCUUGAAAUACCACCCUUUAAUGUUUGAUGUUCUAACGUGGACCCGUGAUCCGGGUUGCGGACAGUGUCUGGUGGGUAGUUUGACUGGGGCGGUCUCCUCCUAAAGAGUAACGGAGGAGCACGAAGGUUGGCUAAUCCUGGUCGGACAUCAGGAGGUUAGUGCAAUGGCAUAAGCCAGCUUGACUGCGAGCGUGACGGCGCGAGCAGGUGCGAAAGCAGGUCAUAGUGAUCCGGUGGUUCUGAAUGGAAGGGCCAUCGCUCAACGGAUAAAAGGUACUCCGGGGAUAACAGGCUGAUACCGCCCAAGAGUUCAUAUCGACGGCGGUGUUUGGCACCUCGAUGUCGGCUCAUCACAUCCUGGGGCUGAAGUAGGUCCCAAGGGUAUGGCUGUUCGCCAUUUAAAGUGGUACGCGAGCUGGGUUUAGAACGUCGUGAGACAGUUCGGUCCCUAUCUGCCGUGGGCGCUGGAGAACUGAGGGGGGCUGCUCCUAGUACGAGAGGACCGGAGUGGACGCAUCACUGGUGUUCGGGUUGUCAUGCCAAUGGCACUGCCCGGUAGCUAAAUGCGGAAGAGAUAAGUGCUGAAAGCAUCUAAGCACGAAACUUGCCCCGAGAUGAGUUCUCCCUGACCCUUUAAGGGUCCUGAAGGAACGUUGAAGACGACGACGUUGAUAGGCCGGGUGUGUAAGCGCAGCGAUGCGUUGAGCUAACCGGUACUAAUGAACCGUGAG